rnacentral:miRNA from 1 species
UGUUGUUUGAGUGCAAACCG